rnacentral:rRNA from 1 species
CCUACGGGAGGCAGCAGUGGGGAAUAUUGCACAAUGGGGGAAACCCUGAUGCAGCGACGCCGCGUGAGUGAAGAAGUAUUUCGGUAUGUAAAGCUCUAUCAGCAGGGAAGAAAAUGACGGUACCUGAUUAAGCAGCCCCGGCUAACUACGUUCCAGCAGCCGCGGUAAUACGUAGGGGGCAAGCGUUAUCCGGAUUUACUGGGUGUAAAGGGGGCGUAGACGGCAGCACAAGUCUGGAGUGAAAUGCCGGGGCUUAACCCCGGAACUGCUUUGGAAACUGUGCAGCUAGAGUGCAGGAGAGGUAAGUGGAAUUCCUAGUGUAGCGGUGAAAUGCGUAGAUAUUAGGAGGAACACCAGUGGCGAAGGCGGCUUACUGGACUGUAACUGACGUUGAGGCUCGAAAGCGUGGGGAGCAAACAGGAUUAGAUACCCCAGUAGUC